rnacentral:rRNA from 1 species
AUUGAACGCUGGCGGCAGGCUUAACACAUGCAAGUCGAGCGAGCGGCGGACGGGUGAGUAAUGUCUGGGAAACUGCCUGAUGGAGGGGGAUAACUACUGGAAACGGUAGCUAAUACCGCAUACCAUCAGAUGUGCCCCGAUGGGAUUGGCUAGUAGGUGGGGUAAUGUCUCACCUAGGCGACGAUCCCUAGCUGGGCUGAGAGGAUGACCCGCGACACUGGAACGGAGACAGGGUCCGAACGCAUACGGGAGGCAGAAGUGGGGAAUAUGGCACAAUGGGCGAACGCCUGAUUCAGCCACGCCGCGUGUGUGAAGAAGGCCUUCGGGUUGUAAAGCACUUUCAGUGAGGAGGCGUUACUCGCAGAAGAAGCACCGGCUAACUCCGUGCCAGCAGCCGCGGUAAUAC